CCUACGGGUGGCUGCAGUGGGGAAUAUUGGACAAUGGGGGGAACCCUGAUCCAGCCAUGCCGCGUGUGUGAAGAAGGCCCUCGGGUUGUAAAGCACUUUCAGUGAGGAAGAACGCCUGGUGGUUAAUACCCAUCAGGAAAGACAUCACUCACAGAAGAAGCACCGGCUAACUCCGUGCCAGCAGCCGCGGUAAUACGGAGGGUGCGAGCGUUAAUCGGAAUUACUGGGCGUAAAGCACGCGUAGGUGGCUUGAUAAGCCGGUUGUGAAAGCCCCGGGCUCAACCUGGGAACGGCAUCCGGAACUGUCAAGCUAGAGUGCAGGAGAGGAAGGUAGAAUUCCCGGUGUAGCGGUGAAAUGCGUAGAGAUCGGGAGGAAUACCAGUGGCGAAGGCGGCCUUCUGGACUGACACUGACACUGAGGUGCGAAAGCGUGGGUAGCAAACAGGAUUAGAUACCCCGGUAGUC
rnacentral:rRNA from 1 species